GGGAUAGCUCGAAGAAGCCUGUUCGUAGGGCGUCGGCUGAGCGAAACUCAAAACACGAACUGCGCUCGGAGAGACUCAGCUGGUCUUUCUUUCGGACGGGGGUUCGACUCCCCCCGCCUCCACCA
rnacentral:tmRNA from 1 species